AGUUGGACGUGUGGGGAAUAUGCAAAUGUAAAUUGUAUGUGUGAAAUUAUGUAUCUUGAUGUUGAAGCAUAGUUGUAACUUGGUAACAUGAAUUGCACGAAUGUUGGAAUGUUGUUGAAAUGUUGUUGAAUGCCGUAGGGGCUGUUUUUAAUUGAAAUUUGAUGGACUGAUUUGAAUUAAUAUUUUGGUUGUUGUAAUCAUAGAUUAUGUGAUGAGAAUGAAGGAAUUUAAUGGUUAGAGUUGGAGUUAAAAUUGUUGUGGGUUGUUGUAAGGAUUAUAGAGAUAAUAAUGUGAUUUACUUGCAUAUGAAUAGAUGAUGUGGUGUCGUGUGGCUGCUGUUGUAUUUCCCUGAAAUUUGCUGAAAAGAUGGCAUGAAAUAAGGCGUAAGAAGUGUAUAUGGGCUGCUUGGUGUGUUGUAAGUGUUCGUUAGAAUUUCGGGCAUCGUUAUGUUAUAGUUUAGGGGCUGUUUUCGGCCCAAUUUGGAGAAAUUGUUGGAUCGUUGGAAAUAUUAUGUGAAUUGUUUAGAAUGUUCUUGAAUGUUGUUAGUAUGGGUUUGGGUUAGUAUUUGAAUGUAUAGGCGUUGAUGUUGGCUUGAAGGUAAGCCGUUGAAUUGAAUAUUUGAAAAGUUGUCGAAUGAUGAAAAAAAGAGUAUUAAUGUAAUAUUGUCUUUCGGAUUGGUUAUUGGAGUUGCUAGGUUGGUUAUUGUGGUUGUUGCUGUUGAUUUUGAGCGAGUUAAAUUCUCGGGUUGGCCUAUUUACAGGGGAAAUGCUGCCGAAUUUUCUGUAGAAUUUAAUGUUAGUUUGGAAUGAAUGGCUUAAGUGCCUAUGUUUAAUAUUGGAUAUUCGUUGGCAUAUUUGUAGACCUUGGGGAGCCCGAGGCGUAGAUUGGGAUUUACUUUAGAUUGGCUAUCUUGGAGUGCGUACGAGGUACAGACGCACAGUUUGGUGAUCUACCCAUUUAGGACACCCUCUUCUGCUGUUUGGAGUGCUCUUCUCAUUUCAGAGCACACAUUUUGGUAUAUAUAUUCGUUCGCUAUGUAUAUAUGUAUUUGUUCAGGGGCACGGCGGGGCCCUGUCCCGCCAUAUGAUUCGGUUUGUCUGUUUAGAGGUCUGUAGACGUAUUUGUGGGUAUGUGUGCCUACUUCUGUUCAGAUGCGUUUGUAUGACCCUAUUCGUUAUGGCAGCCUUGUCGGCGUGCAUUUUGUA